UAAUGUGGAAGAAAAGUAGAGGGGAGAAUGGAGCUCCCAUUACUUGGAAAUUUUUUUAGGAUGUGUUCUUAGACAAGUUCUUCCCAUGUGAGAUGAGGGAAUCUAAUAUAGAAGAUUUCAUGAAGCUAAGGCAAGGAUCAACGAUGGUAAAAUAGUAUUGCCUCAAGUUUAACAAGUUGUCUAAGUAUGCCCUGUUCUAGCCCUAGAUCAUACAUGAGUAAGUUUGUGAUCGGUGUG
rnacentral:lncRNA from 1 species